rnacentral:lncRNA from 1 species
GAAAUUAAAGAAGGUGGAGGAGAUGAAGGGACUAUCCUAGACAAAAUUUAAAAGUUUAGAGUUGAAAAGAUCUAAACAAUGGGAAGCAUCCACAAGACAAGAAUGGCAUAUAGAAAUCCAUUUCCUUUUGGACUUUUAAGCAAGCAACAAGCAUAAUCAUCCAAGCAAUUAAUAAGAAGACCAAAUGACAUCAAAUAAAUAUAGUCAAACAUCCAAG